GAAUGCUGACAUAAGUAACGAUAAAGCGGGUGAAAAGCCCGCUCGCCGGAAGACCAAGGGUUCCUGUCCAACGUUAAUCGGGGCAGGGUGAGUCGACCCCUAAGGCGAGGCCGAAAGGCGUAGUCGAUGGGAAACGGGUUAAUAUUCCCGUACUUGGUGUUACUGCGAAGGGGGGACGGAGAAGGCUAUGUUGGCCGGGCGACGGUUGUCCCGGUUUAAGCGUGUAGGUGUGUGUUCCAGGUAAAUCCGGUUCACUUUAACACUGAGGCGUGACGACGAGGCACUACGGUGCUGAAGCAACAAAUGCCCUGCUUCCAGGAAAAGCCUCUAAGCAUCAGGUAACAUCAAAUCGUACCCCAAACCGACACAGGUGGUCAGGUAGAGAAUACCAAGGCGCUUGAGAGAACUCGGGUGAAGGAACUAGGCAAAAUGGUGCCGUAACUUCGGGAGAAGGCACGCUGACACGUAGGUGAAGUGAUUUACUCAUGGAGCUGAAGUCAGUCGAAGAUACCAGCUGGCUGCAACUGUUUAUUAAAAACACAGCACUGUGCAAACACGAAAGUGGACGUAUACGGUGUGACGCCUGCCCGGUGCCGGAAGGUUAAUUGAUGGGGUCAGCGCAAGCGAAGCUCCUGAUCGAAGCCCCGGUAAACGGCGGCCGUAACUAUAACGGUCCUAAGGUAGCGAAAUUCCUUGUCGGGUAAGUUCCGACCUGCACGAAUGGCGUAAUGAUGGCCAGGCUGUCUCCACCCGAGACUCAGUGAAAUUGAACUCGCUGUGAAGAUGCAGUGUACCCGCGGCAAGACGGAAAGACCCCGUGAACCUUUACUAUAGCUUGACACUGAACAUUGAGCCUUGAUGUGUAGGAUAGGUGGGAGGCUUUGAAGUGUGGACGCCAGUCUGCAUGGAGCCGACCUUGAAAUACCACCCUUUAAUGUUUGAUGUUCUAACGUGGACCCGUUACCCGGGUUGCGGACAGUGUCUGGUGGGUAGUUUGACUGGGGCGGUCUCCUCCUAAAGAGUAACGGAGGAGCACGAAGGUUGGCUAAUCCUGGUCGGACAUCAGGAGGUUAGUGCAAUGGCAUAAGCCAGCUUGACUGCGAGCGUGACGGCGCGAGCAGGUGCGAAAGCAGGUCAUAGUGAUCCGGUGGUUCUGAAUGGAAGGGCCAUCGCUCAACGGAUAAAAGGUACUCCGGGGAUAACAGGCUGAUACCGCCCAAGAGUUCAUAUCGACGGCGGUGUUUGGCACCUCGAUGUCGGCUCAUCACAUCCUGGGGCUGAAGUAGGUCCCAAGGGUAUGGCUGUUCGCCAUUUAAAGUGGUACGCGAGCUGGGUUUAGAACGUCGUGAGACAGUUCGGUCCCUAUCUGCCGUGGGCGCUGGAGAACUGAGGGGGGCUGCUCCUAGUACGAGAGGACCGGAGUGGACGCAUCACUGGUGUUCGGGUUGUCAUGCCAAUGGCACUGCCCGGUAGCUAAAUGCGGAAGAGAUAAGUGCUGAAAGCAUCUAAGCACGAAACUUGCCCCGAGAUGAGUUCUCCCUGAGACUUAGAGUCUCCUGAAGGAACGUUGAAGACGACGACGUUGAUAGGCC
rnacentral:rRNA from 1 species